rnacentral:rRNA from 1 species
CGUUAAGCAUCCCGCACUGGGGACUACGGCCGCAAGGCUAAGAACUCCAACGAAUUGACGGGGGCACGCACAAGCAUCGGAGCGUAUGGUGUAAUCCGAUGCUACGCGAAGAACCUUACCUGGAUUUGACAUGCACGUGGUAGGGAACCGAAAGGGGACCGACCUUCGGGAGUGUGUACAGGUGCUGCAUGGCAGUCGUCAGAUCGUGCCGUGAGGUGUCGGGUUAAGUCCCGUAACGAGCGCAACCCUUGCACCUUAGUUACAAGUGUCUAAGGGGACUGCCUGGGACAACUGGGAGGAAGGUGGGGAUGACGUCAAGUCAGCAUGGCCUGUAUAUCCAGGGCUACACACAAGCUACAAUGGCCAGUACAAUAGGUAGCCAAGUCGUGAGACGGAGCCAAUCCUGAAAGCUGGUCUCAGUUCGAAGUGCAGUCUGCAACUCGACGGCAGGAAGCUGGAGGUGCUAGUAAUCUGCAGGACAGCCAUACUACGGUGAAUACGUUCCCGGGCCGUUGUACACACCGCCCGUCACG